GUCCAGUAGCAUCUCUCAAACCCAUAAAGCAUGUCGAAUUUGCCGUUAGUAAAUAAAAGUCAUGCUAUUGCAAUUUAGAAUUGAUUGUGUGAGCUUUAGUGUACAUGCUGCCUAUAUCUGGCUCUUUGGUUUCUGUGUUUCUGCAGAAAGAAUGCGUCUCCAAAAUCCAAACCGGCUGGUCCCAGUAUCACUCGCCUUUCUCAAGAGCAGAGGAAAGUUUUUGUCACAUAUGAGGCUGAUGACGAAGAGCAUUUGAAGGAGGUCAUCAAGUUUGUAGCUUUGCUCAGGAACAACGGUUUUGAUACGCAUAUCGAUGUUUUUGAGCAACAACUGAACAGCAUCAGUAAAAUUGACUGCAUGGAGAGAUACCUCAAUGAAAAAGACUACCUGAUUAUCAUCAUCAUUAGCUUGAGAUAUUACGAGACCAUAACAGGCUUUAAUAUGCGAAUAAACAAUGACGAGCGG